ACUCAUGUUAAGGUAUUAUAUCUAUCACUAAAAGAAUUAGAUAACAGACAAAUAAAUGAAGUUUUCCCAUAACAUUCACACCUCUAUAGUAUCUAUCCAGAAAAUUGUCUUUGCACUUUCUUAAGUAUCAGCUAUCACCCAACUUUUGAGAAUAAUAAGGUUUCAGCAUUUUUUUCUCUUUAAUACAUUCUGAAAUCAUGUGCAUGGUAUUCACAUGUAAUUAGUCCAAACUUCCAAAAGUCAAUUCUUCCGAAAGGCAUCACCAAGUAUAUAUAGUGUGAGGAUCUAUGCGGACGUGUGUUUAGUUCUACAUCGGCUAUGCACUAGGUAGAUCUUAGGUAGUUAUAUAAGGCCAAAAAAUUCAAAUAAUACUUCCAGCUGGCCUUUUUGGAUGAGGUCCUGAGUUGUGACAAAUAGUAUCAGAGCAUAUCCAGCCCAUGGACUAUGUGGACUAGGAGACGCUGCAGCACAGACCCAUUAAGGCUGACCACGAGCCGAUCAUGGUGAUUGUGAUUAGAUUUGAAUGAAUUUGAACCCGACGAGGAC
rnacentral:lncRNA from 1 species